rnacentral:rRNA from 1 species
CAAGUCGAACGGAAUUUUUUGUGUAGUAAUACAUGAAAAGUCUAGUGGCGAACGGGUGCGUAACACGUGAGCAAUCUGCCGGGAAGUGGGGGAUAGCUCGCCGAAAGGCGAAUUAAUACCGCAUGUGGCUAGAGGGGACAUCCCUUCGACGCCAAAGUCGCAAGACGCUUCCUGAUGAGCUCGCGGCCUAUCAGCUUGUUGGUGAGGUAACGGCUCACCAAGGCAAUGACGGGUAGCUGGUCUGAGAGGACGACCAGCCACACUGGAACUGAGACACGGUCCAGACACCUACGGGUGGCAGCAGUCGAGAAUUUUUCACAAUGGGGGCAACCCUGAUGGAGCGACGCCGCGUGGAGGAUGAAGGUCUUCGGAUUGUAAACUCCUGUCAUGCGAGAACAAGAAAGUGAUAGUAUCGCAAGAGGAAGAGACGGCUAACUCUGUGCCAGCAGCCGCGGUAAUACAGAGGUCUCAAGCGUUGUUCGGAUUCAUUGGGCGUAAAGGGUGCGUAGGCGGCGUGGUAAGUUGAGUGUGAAAUCCUAGGGCUUAACCUUAGAACUGCACUCAAUACUGCCAUGCUUGAGGAAUGUAGAGGAGAGUGGAAUUCACGGUGUAGCAGUGAAAUGCGUAGAUAUCGUGAGGAAGACCAGUUGCGAAGGCGACUCUCUGGGCAUUUCCUGACGCUGAGGCACGAAGGCCAGGGGAGCAAACGGGAUUAGAUACCCCGGUAGUCCUGGCAGUAAACGGUGCACAUUUGGUGUGGGCGGGUUCAGACCCCGUCCGUGCCGGAGCUAACGCGUUAAAUGUGCCGCCUGGGAAGUACGGUCGCAAGAUUAAAACUCAAAGAAAUUGACGG